CACAGAGUUAGCCGAUGCUUAUUCCUCAGAUACCGUCAUUGUUUCUUCUCCGAGAAAAGAAGUUGACGACCCGUAGGCCUUCCACCUCCACGCGGCAUUGCUCCGUCAGGCUUUCGCCCAUUGCGGAAAAUUCCCCACUGCUGCCUCCCGUAGGAGUCUGGGCCGUGUCUCAGUCCCAAUGUGGCCGAUCACUCUCUCAAGUCGGCUACUGAUCGUUGCCUUGGUGGGCCGUUACCCCUCCAACUAGCUAAUCAGACGCGGGUCCAUCUUGUACCACCGGAGUUUUUCACACUGUAUCAUGCGAUACUGUGCGCUUAUGCGGUAUUAGCAGUCGUUUCCAACUGUUAUCCCCCUGUACAAGGCAGGUUACCCACGCGUUACUCACCCGUCCGCCACUCAGUCACCUCAAUUGUUCAAUCUCUAGCAAGCUAGGUCAAUCAACGGGAGAGGUGCUUCGUUCGACUUGCAUGUAUUAAGCACGCCGCAGCGUUC
rnacentral:rRNA from 1 species